rnacentral:rRNA from 1 species
AUGGCCGAUGGAGGAGCGCUCGCCUGCUCUGCUAGUGUGCCACAGUGCCAAUGGUGCACUCGGGGCCACCAGUUCAUGACGAAUAUGAAGGUGCUGGUGCUUGGGACGUAUGACGCAAUCUUGGGCAUGGACUGGCUCGAGGAGCACAGUCCCAUGACCGUGGAUUGGCGCGCGAAGCUCAUCGAGAUCCCGUCGACCGCGUGGGCAAUUCGUCUACACGGGCACGAGGCUACUUCCUCAACUUGCACCGUCAUCAAUGCUCUCCAACUCCAGCAACUGUGCAACACGGAUGCCAUCAUGCAUAUGGCGUUGAUUUAUGCGACGACCGGCGAGGGCAGCAACAGCACCACCUCGCCAGAGAUUCAAGCUGUCCUGGAGGAAUUCGCAGAUGUGUUCAAAGAACCAGAAGGGUUGCCACCCCGCCGCCACUGGGAUCACAAGAUUCCGCUCAUACCAGGAGCCCAGCCGGUGAACAUCCGAUCCUACCGGCACAAGCCAGAGCACAAGAAGGAGAUCGAUGCACAAGUGGAAGAGCUUCUCCGCAAGGGCAUUAUCCAGAAAAGCAGAAGCCCCUUCUGCUCUCCAGCUAUCCUCGUCAAGAAGAAGGAUGGGACAUGGAGGCUCUUUAUCGACUACAGACACCUCAACGCCAUCACUUACAUCGCCAAGUACCCCGUGCCUAUCAUCAAAGAGUUGCUGGAUGAGCUGCACGGUGCAGACUGGUUCUCCAAGCUGGAUCUGCGAUCGGGCUAUCACCAGAUUCGCUUGGCAGAAGGCGAAGAGUACAAGACCGCAUUCCAGAUGCAUUCAGGCCACUACGAGUUCCUGGUGGUUUCUUUUGGGUUAGCGGGUGCACCGGCCACGUUCAACGGAGCUCUGACGACCACCCUCAAACCAGUCAACCGCAAGUGCGUGCUCCUGUUCUUUGAUGACAUCCUCGUGUUCAGCAAGACUCUGCGAGACCACAUCAAUCACCUGCGACAAGUUCUGCAACUUUUGCGCCGAGACCAAUGGCGCGUGGAGAUGUCCAAGUGCGAGUUCGGCCAGCACAGCCUAUCAUACCUAGGGCACGUCAUCAGCGAUCAAGGGGUGUCCACGGAACCAACCAAGAUACAGGAAGUAUCCGACUGGACGACUCCAACUGAUGUCAAAGCAGUCCGCAGCUUCUUGGGGCUCGCUGGGUACUAUCGAAGAUUCGUCAGGAACUUUGGAAUCAUAGCUCGUCCACUGUUCAACCUUCUGAAGAAAGGGGCGCCGUUCGUCUGGACACCGGCCACAGAUACAGCAUUCCAGCUACUCAAGCAACACCUGAUCGAAGCCCCAGUUCUGGCGCUGCCCAACUUCGCCAAACCAUUCGUGAUCGAGACUGACGCAUGUGACAAAGGGAUCGGGGCGAUACUGCAGCAGGAUGGUCACCCGAUUGCUUACAUGAGCAAAGCCCUGAGCCCCCGAUACCAAGGACUCUCGACCUACGAGAAGGAAUACUUGGCAGUUAUUGUGGCCGUAGACCAAUGA